rnacentral:rRNA from 1 species
GACGAACGCUGGCGGCGUGCUUAACACAUGCAAGUCGAACGAAGAGGCGAACGGGUGAGUAACGCGUAAUCAACCUGCCCUUCAGAGGGGGACAACAGUUGGAAACGACUGCUAAUACCGCAUAAGGAGGGAGGGGAGUGCGUUUGAGUAGCUAGUUGGAGGGGUACCGGCCCACCAAGGCGAUUAUCAGUAGCCGGUCUGGGUGGAUGACCGGCCACAUUGGGACUGAGACACGGCCCAGACUCCUACGGGCGGCAGCAGUGGGGAAUCUUCCGCAAUGGACGUAAGUCUGACGGAGCAACGCCGCGUGAGUGAUGACGGCCUUCGGGUUGUAAAGCUCUGUUAAUCGGGACGCGGUACCGGAAUAGAAAGCCACGGCUAACUACGUGCCAGCAGCCGCGGUAAUAC